UGGAGUGUGAGAUCGACUAUCUGCUGCGAAUCUGCGGGUGCGCCAUGUGGACACACCCCUUGCCCCCAGGAGCAAUACUAUGCAAUGCAAGGCUCUUGCCCUGCGCGAGACAAGCACUGGCAAAUUUUGAUAAAUACACUUGCUCGUGCGUCCACACGUGCGACGUCGACACAGACAGUGUAGAGAUCAGUUCUUACAAAUUAUUCCCACAUUCUGCCUGUAUAGACUCAUUUUAUCACGACUUGGAUUUCACAAAAAUCAGCAUAAUGAGAGUGUUCGUCGCAAACAGAAACAUUAAAACUAAAUCUCGACAAACAUAUUAUACUUUCCAUGAUCUCUUUAGUCAACUAGGUGGAAUUUUCAAUGUAUUUUUUGGGUGUAGCCUCCUCAGUAUUUUGGAAAUAAUUCAACUGAUAAAAUAUGCAUGCAAAUUUAGAAAAAGAUCCAAUAAGAUCUGGAAUAACAAUAAACAAGAAAAAAAGAAAGAAAGUAUCGUAAAACAGAAAGAAACGAGAGGCAAGAAAAAAGAAAGAACAGUGAGAUUCGCGUGAAAUCAUAAGAGAUUGUA